GAUGAACGCUGGCGGCGUGCCUAAUACAUGCAAGUCGAGCGAACGGACGAGAAGCUUGCUCCUCUACGGUUAGCGGCGGACGGGUGAGUAACACGUGGAUAACCUACCUAUAAUACUGGGAUAACUUCGGGAAACCAGUGCUAAUACCGCAUAAUAUUUUGAACCGCAUGGUUCAAGAGUGAAAGACGCUCUUGCUGUCACUAAUAGAUGGAUCCGCGUUGCAUUAGCUAGUUGGUAAGGUAACGGCUCACCAAGGCAACGAUGCGUAGCCGACCUGAGAGGGUGAUCAGCCACACUGGAACUGAGACACGGUCCAGACUCCUACGGGAGGCAGCAGUAGGGAAUCUUCCGCAAUGGGCGAAAGCCUGACGGAGCAACGCCGCGUGAGUGAUGAAGGUCUUCGGAUCGUAAAACUCUGUUAUUAGGAAAGAACAUAUGUGUAAGUAACUGUGCACAUCUUGACGGUACCUAAUCAGAAAGCCACGGCUAACUACGUG
rnacentral:rRNA from 1 species